UACGUAGGGUGCAAGCGUUAAUCGGAAUUACUGGGCGUAAAGCGUGCGCAGGCGGCUAUGCAAGACAGAUGUGAAAUCCCCGGGCUCAACCUGGGAACUGCAUUUGUGACUGCAUGGCUAGAGUACGGUAGAGGGGGAUGGAAUUCCGCGUGUAGCAGUGAAAUGCGUAGAUAUCUGGAGGAACACCGGUGGCGAAGGCGGCAUUCUGGACCGAAACUGACGCUGAGGCGCGAAAGCCAGGGGAGCAAACGGG
rnacentral:rRNA from 1 species